GUAUGUAGGAACACACCACAUUUAGCCAUAAAUGUUUUAGUUUGAUCUUUUAUUAUUAUUAUCAUUAUUAUUCUUUUUUUUUUUUUUUUUCCCAAAGGGAAGAACAAGAAAAUGCUACUUUGUGCUGAGACACUCAAAAAAAAGUUCUCAAAUCAUGUACUUGUGGAGUUUGACACUAUACAGGAAAGCUGUCUUCCAUUCGGAAUUAGCAUUGCACACAGUUCUCAUUUUCUUCAGUAGGUGGUAUACCCAGUAUUUCUGGUGGCCUGUGUAGGAGAGCUGGCCAAGGGAGGAGAAGUGAGGGAGAAUGGAUUUGGAAGGAGCUCCAGCAGCCUCCAGGAUAUUAUUGAGAUACCCACAGGUUUCCAGCUGUCACGGAUCUGAAGAAAUGUUUGAAAAUAUGGCUGGAGUUCAACUAGCAUUUGCCUGAGUCUGCAGACAGUCUAAAACCAAAACCUUCAACAAACACAAACUGCACCCCUCCUUUCAAAGACAACAGAGAUGCAGACACAGGAGGAACACAUAGGUUCUGCUCAGAUCUUGGUUUUGCCUCAUUUCAGCCUAGGAAGCAGGAGCAGUGAGGGGUAUAUCCACACAGCAUCAAACUGCAUGUCCUCAGUGCCCAUAGUGCUUUGUCCAUGCAGCAGGGUGGAAAGCAACAUCCUCAGAACAGAGAAUACCGGGAGAGUGCACAAACCAUCACGGACUUCUACACUGAGCUGGCAUACUCAGCUGCUGUUGAUUGAUAUACCUGCUGGAUCAAAGCCCUAUUCUCUUCUAUUGGAUGGAAUAUUUAUUGGUAGUCCUGGUGUCCUCUAUCCGGAUGUGGGAGCCAGCUAA
rnacentral:lncRNA from 1 species